rnacentral:misc_RNA from 1 species
GUUUAUCUCUUUCAAAUUCAGGUGUCUAAGAUUUUCUCCAUAUUUUGCAGAGUUUAAUAAAUCCAUCUCAUUGUACUGUUUCUAUUUCACUUUACAUUAUGGUAACUACAUCAUAAUUGUUCUAUAUUCUUCUUUUGGCUUCUGUAUGCUGUGAUUUUUGCAUCUAUUGGUAUAAUCAAUUGAAGAAGGGUUAAAUUUUUAUUUUUAAUUUAAAUUUUUUUCCUAAUUGAAGGGUGAUGUAUAUCCUGUG